UGGUAAAAUAAGGCUUGUUAAAAAUUGACCGAUAUCAUAUGGCCAAUUUUUAGGAGGAGCCCACAAUAACCACAGUACAUUUGUGUAAAGAUAAUUAGCCCAAUUGUUUUUUUAUUAUAUGGUGCGCAUAUGGGCUGGCCAGCUUUGGGCCCAUUGGUUUUCUCAUUUGUUGCGUCUUGGGGAUAGAAGGAUUCCAGCCAACAUCUUAUUUUCCCAAUCUCUCAAGUGGGGAGCCAAAAAGGAACACGUCGGUGAUUGGGUAUCUUGUGUGUCCUAGACAUCUUGCCGGCCUUUCCCGGUGGUUCGUUGCCUGGAGACGAUGGCGGAGAAAGAAAACAGAGCAGCGAUUCCGGCAGCGACAUUGGCGUGUUGGGUUGCCGGUAGUGAUGAGGCGAUGACAGGUAGUCUGGCAGAGGGAGCAGCUCUUAGAGACCGAGGUUCUUCGACCGUCCGGCGUAUGCGGUGGUUAAUUGGACACAGGGGCGCGGAGGUUAAGUGGCGGUGUUGUAAUUUCAUCCAAUAUUGAUUAAACAAAAACGCCGGGGCCAGAGAUUGUUUUGGGUCGCCAAGAGACUGUUGCCUCCAGAGCUCGCUCGUCGGAGCUAUAGGUUGGUGAUGGCUUGUUUUUGAUUGAUGGGUCAAUGGAGAGGCCCCUGUGGUUAUUUGCUUCGGAUCUGCUGUCAUUUGGUCCCGACGAGUGAUCGGCGGUCCCCGGCUCCGGCUGUCUUCAGCAGGUCACGAAAAGGAAAGGCCGGUGGUGCCUCGUCGGGUGCCUGGAACUAGUAGCGACUGGUGGUUGAAAUCCCUGGUUAUGAUUGUUUUUUAUUUUUGUGUUCCUCAUUGGAGUCCGUCUACACAGGAAGACGAUGUUGUUGGGUCAUCGGUACGCCCGAUCUGGUGGUUGUUGUCGGUUGAAUGGAAAGGGUGAGUCGGGUUACUCCAAAGGAGCGUUGACCAAAUGCGCCCCAUUUUGCCUCUUCUGUAUCUUUCAAAAUGCUUGGAUCCCACCUACACUUACGCUGCAUAUGACACACCAGCUGUAUUUUGUCUUCUUCCUUUUUAUCUGGUAAAUUGGAGAGGCUAGAAUAAAUCUUUGAGUUAAAAAUAACAAAAUGUGGUCAGGUGGUUUUGGUGAGAAGGGAUAAACGAAUUUUUGGGGGUUUUAAGAAGUGUACAAUGGACAUAGCUUUGUGUACAAGCAAAAUAAUUACAGAGAUAGAGAUUUAUAAAAGAUUAUGAGCUUAAGUUA